UGCUGGGGUUUGAGAGAUCAGUCAGACACGAUUGGCAGGGAGAGCACGUGUGUUUUUAUGAGAAUUAUGCCGAGAUAGGUAACAGAUGAGGAUGAAAUUUGGGCUUGAUUGAAGUAAUGGAGGCUGUCUGUGAAGCUUUGCAGCAGUACAGCCUUGGUAAUUUGCUGAGCCUAAUGGGUGUCAGGGUCAGUCCAAGUGAAAGCAAAGAGAGGCUGGAACGAGGGGUGCAGGGGAAUAGUGAAAAAAGCAUCUUUAAGAUCAGGCACGGAAUAGUGAGUUGUGGAGGAAGGUAUUGAGGACAAAAGAGUGUAUGGGGUUGGGCACCACAGGGGGGAUAGGCAAAACAAUUUGGUUGAUAAGGUGCAGAUCCUGAACUAACUUGUAAGGCUUGUCUGGUUUUAGGACAGGUAAAAUGGGGGAAUUGUAAGGAGAGUUUAUAGGGUUUAAAAGGCCAUGCUGUAGCAGGCGAGUGAUAACAGGCUUUAAUCUUUUUAAAGCGUGCUGCGGGAUGGGAUAUUGGCGUUGAGUGGGGUAAGGGUGAUUAGGUUUUAAUGAGAUGGUAAGGGGUGCAUGAUCCGUCGCCAAGGAGGGAGUAGAGGUAUCUUAUACUUGUGGGUUAAGGUGGGGGGAUACAAGAGGAGGACGCAAAGGAGGCUUUGGAUUGGGAAGAAGGGCGGCAAUGAGAUAUAGCUGUAGUCCAGGAAUAGUCAGGGAAGCAGAUAAUUUAAAGUGUCUCAGCCUAAUAAGGGAACUGGGCAGGUGGGGAUAACUAAAAAGGAGUGCUUAAAAGAGUAUUGUCUAAGUUGGCACCAGAGUUGGGGAGUUUUAAGAGGUUUAGAAGCCUGGCCGUCAAUACCCACAACAGUUAUGGAGGCAAGGGAAACAGGCCCUUGAAAAGAAGGUGAUGUGGAGUGGGUAGCCUCCGUAUUGAUUAAGAAGGAGACGGGCUUACCUUCCACUGUGAGAGUUACCUGAAGCUCGGCGUCUGUGAUGGUCUAGGGGGCUUCCGAGGCGAUCGGGCAGUGUCAGUCUUCAGCUGCUAAGCCGAGAAGAUCUGGGAAGGAGUCAGUCAGAGAGCCUUGGGCCAGAGUUCCAGGGACUCUGGGAGUGGCUGCCAGAAUUUCAUAGUGGGAAAUUUCAUCUUUCAUGAAGAGCUUGUAGGCUUCCUGCAACAACCAUGGAAAUGUGUCCACUGGAUCUCUCUCCAAGAAGGAACUUGCCAAUCAGCCAUGAGAAGUGCAGUGAGCUGUCAUUCCCCCAGGUGCAACAUUUAGCCGAGGCCAGGCUCUUCCCAGGAAGACCCCAGCCAAGGACAGAACAGGACUAAAUGAAGAUCAAGUCUGAAAGUCAUUCACUUUGUCAUCUGUUGGCUCUACCUUUGACUCAAGUGCCAGCCUCUUCAUCUCUCUCCUGGAUUCCUAUAAUACCUUCUCAGCUUCGGCUGUCAUUUCCCCUCCACACACAGCCAGCAUGAGUGACUGCAAAAUCAAAGUCCUGAGCUGGUCUCCCCACUCACUCAAAGGCCCUGUAGGACAGUGUCCCUCUGUGAUGGCAUAGCCACGCUGGCCUCUUGGCUGUUCCUCAGAUAUCCCAUGCUGCUGCCACCUUGAGCACUUGCUGGUUUAUCUGCCUGAUUCAAUGCUCUUCUCCCGACAUUUAUCCACAUGGACCCAUCUGCAAAGUUCUCAAGUUUCUGCUCAGAGUCACCUCAUCAGGUUGGUGACAACCUUAUUUAAAAUAGCUCUUCUUCUCCAUAUCUCCUUGCCUGACUUCAUUUUUAUCAUAGCAAUUGUAUUGAUUUGUUUUGUUGUUUAUUGUGUGUCUCCCUAUUCUAGAAUGUAAGCUCCUUGAGGACAGGGACUUGUCUGCUUGACUUGUUUCUAUCAGGGUGUCAGGACAGGGCAUAUGGUAGGUGCUUAAUAAAUAUGUGUGGGUGAAUGGACAAUGAUUCAUGGAUGAUAUCCAGAGGGUAAUGGUGAUUGCCAGUCAUGGGCAUAUGGCAUUUUGUUUUACAAUAUUUUUAUACAUAUGGGAUAUUAUUAUUAUUAUUUUUGAGACAGAGUUUCGCUCUGUCACCCAGGCCAGAGUGCAGUGGCAUGAUCUUGGCUGACUGCAGCUUUGACUUUCCAGUCUCACACAAUCCUCCCACCUCAGCCUCCCAAGUAGCUGGGACUACAUGCAUGCACCACCAUGCCUGGCUAAUUUUUUAAAUUUUUGGUAGGGCUAGGGCUUCACUAGGUUUCUCAGGCAGGUCUCAAACUCCUAGGCUCAAGUGACCUUCCUACCUAAGCCUCCCAAAGUGCUGGGAUUACAGGGAUGAGCCACCAGGCCCUGCCAAUACUAUUAUUUUUGUUGCUUCAUGAUACGUUUUAGAAAUCUUUUAUGUUAGUUAAAUGGAAAACUGUCUUGUUCUUUUUGACUGCUACAUACCAUUCCUCAGUGUGGGUGUACCGUGAUGUAACCAUUCCCUCCUUAGUAGUCCUUGUUUGCAAUUUUUCUAUUUUAUUUCAUUGCAAAUAGAGCUUUGAGAAACACCUUUGCACAUGUGGUUUUGGGGACAUGCAUUAUCAUUUCUUUCAUGUUGAACUCCUUCAAGUGAAAUUUCCAGGUGUAAGUCACAGCUGCCCAAUAGCUUUCUGCAAU
rnacentral:lncRNA from 10 species